GUCACUGUGGGCGUCUCCUGAUGGAACCCUGAACAUGUAUUCACGGGGUGUUGUUGGCAGCUUGCGAGCUCCUCCUACUUAUUACCUCCAGUUUGCUGCCGCCCCACAGUUCGGUGGAGCCUGGAGUGGUAAAGCUUUGUAGAUGAGCCAUGUGUGUUUUCCUGGAAUCUCACUAAGGGGUCCAGAGCCGGAGAGCCACCUGCCAGCCGUAACAGCGAUGGCCAGGUUAACAGCAACCCAGCACAUGUCAAGGGCGUGGUCUCAGGCGAAUGUAGCCAUCAUUCAGCAAGGGUGCCACUUCGCAGUUGUCCCUGGGCAGCAUGGGAGUGCUCAGAAGGACCGUCUCUGCGAGCCGAGACUUCGAGUCACUUCCACCCAAGGACCGGACCUGUGAGUGAAGGAUGACGCCUCCAGCCCCCCAAACCUUCGCAUCUUUUCCACUGAGACCUCAGACAUCGUGGGCCAGAGACACGAGGCAUCACGCCUGGGUCCCGUCUAAAUUCCCAGCCCAUGGAAACCGAGAGCAUAAUAAAAUGGUUGUUAAGCUGCUA